rnacentral:lncRNA from 1 species
UAAAUCUCAGCGUCAACUCCUAUGGAUGUAAGGUGGAUAAUAGAGAGAGAAGGCCAUCAGAAACAGCUUGUUAAAUGAGGUGUUGAGUAGAGUUGGAAAAGAACACAACCAUGACUGGUAAUAGGAGCUUGGAAAUUACAUAGGAAGCCCUUGGAGACAACAGUGAAAAAAGGAGGCGAGUCUUGAGGAGUGUCUAAAUUUACCAGACCAAAUUCAGCAAUUUUGGUAACAGCAAGUUAUUCAUAGAAAAACUUGAGC